GACGAACGCUGGCGGCGUGCCUAACACAUGCAAGUCGAGCGGGGAGAGAUUUUCGGAUUUCUCUUUAGCGGCGGACGGGUGAGUAACACGUGGGUAACCUGCCUGUAAGACGGGGAUAACUCCGGGAAACCGGAGCUAAUACCGGAUGAUAACGAGAAGCGCCUGCUUCUUUUUUGAAAGUCGGUUUCGGCUGACGCUUACAGAUGGGCCCGCGGCGCAUUAGCUAGUUGGUGAGGUAACGGCUCACCAAGGCGACGAUGCGUAGCCGACCUGAGAGGGUGAUCGGCCACACUGGGACUGAGACACGGCCCAGACUCCUACGGGAGGCAGCAGUAGGGAAUCUUCGGCAAUGGACGAAAGUCUGACCGAGCAACGCCGCGUGAGCGAUGAAGGCCUUCGGGUCGUAAAGCUCUGUUGUCAGAGAAGAACAAGUACCGGAGUAACUGCCGGUACCUUGACGGUACCUGACCAGAAAGCCACGGCUAACUACGUGCCAGCAGCCGCGGUAAAAC
rnacentral:rRNA from 1 species